rnacentral:rRNA from 1 species
GACGAACGCUGGCGGCGUGCUUAACACAUGCAAGUCGAACGGAAAGGCCUUUUCGGAGGUGCUCGAGUGGCGAACGGGCGGGUAACAAGCGGGUGAUUUGCCCUGCACUCUGGGAUGAGCCUGGGAAACUGGGUCGAAUACCGGAUAGGACCGCACUCUAGUGGGUGUGGUGGAAAGGUUUUUCGGUGGAGGAUGGGCAUGCGGCCUAUCAGCUUGUUGGUGGGGUAAUGGCCUACCAAGGCGGAGGCGGGUAGCGGGCCUGGGAGGUUGGCCGGCAACAUUGGGACUGAGAUCGGGCCCAGACCCCUACGGGGGGCAGCAGGGGGGAAUAUUGCACAAGGGGCGGAAGCCUGAUGAAGCAACGCCGCGGGGGGGAUGCCGGCCUUCGGGUUGUAACCCGCUUUCGCCUGGGAGGAGCGUUUUGUGACGGUACCUGGUGAAGAAGCACCGGCUAACUACGUG